AGAAUGAGUCGAGGAACAUUGAGAUGUUGGCAGCUGCCUGUGCUGUGGGGGUCGGCUGCUGUUUCGCUGCCCCUAUAGGAGGUGUGCUGUUCAGUAUUGAGGUAACGUCUACGUUCUUUGCGGUGAGGAAUUACUGGAGAGGGUUCUUCGCUGCUACCUUCAGUGCCUUCAUCUUCAGAGUCCUGGCCGUGUGGAAUAAAGACGAGGAGACCAUCACAGCUCUGUUUAAAACCCGU